GGGUUGUGAGGUUAAGCGACUAAGCGUACACGGUGGAUGCCCUGGCAGUCAGAGGCGAUGAAGGGCGUGCUAAUCUGCGAUAAGCGCCGGUAAGGUGAUAUGAACCGUUAUAACCGGCGAUACCCGAAUGGGGAAACCCAGUGUGAUUCGUCACACUAUCAUUAACUGAAUCCAUAGGUUAAUGAGGCGAACCGGGGGAACUGAAACAUCUAAGUACCCCGAGGAAAAGAAAUCAACCGAGAUUCCCCCAGUAGCGGCGAGCGAACGGGGAGGAGCCCAGAGCCUGAAUCAGCAUGUGUGUUAGUGGAAGCGUCUGGAAAGGUGCGCGAUACAGGGUGACAGCCCCGUACACAAAAGCGCAUGUGCUGUGAGCUCGAUGAGUAGGGCGGGACACGUGGUAUCCUGUCUGAAUAUGGGGGGACCAUCCUCCAAGGCUAAAUACUCCUGACUGACCGAUAGUGAACCAGUACCGUGAGGGAAAGGCGAAAAGAACCCCGGCGAGGGGAGUGAAAAAGAACCUGAAACCGUGUACGUACAAGCAGUGGGAGCACAGGUUUACCUGUGUGACUGCGUACCUUUUGUAUAAUGGGUCAGCGACUUAUAUUCUGUAGCAAGGUUAACCGUAUAGGGGAGCCGUAGGGAAACCGAGUCUUAACCGGGCGUUAAGUUGCAGGGUAUAGACCCGAAACCCGGUGAUCUAGCCAUGGGCAGGUUGAAGGUUGGGUAACACUAACUGGAGGACCGAACCGACUAAUGUUGAAAAAUUAGCGGAUGACCUGUGGCUGGGGGUGAAAGGCCAAUCAAACCGGGAGAUAGCUGGUUCUCCCCGAAAGCUAUUUAGGUAGCGCCUCGUGAAUUCAUCUCCGGGGGUAGAGCACUGUUUCGGCUAGGGGGCCAUCCCGGCUUACCAACCCGAUGCAAACUGCGAAUACCGGAGAAUGUUAUCACGGGAGACACACGGCGGGUGCUAACGUCCGUCGUGAAGAGGGAAACAACCCAGACCGCCAGCUAAGGUCCCAAAGUCAUGGUUAAGUGGGAAACGAUGUGGGAAGGCCCAGACAGCCAGGAUGUUGGCUUAGAAGCAGCCAUCAUUUAAAGAAAGCGUAAUAGCUCACUGGUCGAGUCGGCCUGCGCGGAAGAUGUAACGGGGCUAAACCAUGCACCGAAGCUGCGGCAGCGAACGUAUCACCCAAGACAACUUUACGGAGUUGACGAUUGACGGAGCGAAGCGACGUCAAAGCGUUCAUUAAAGUCGAGUUGGCUUAGGGAUACGUUCGUUGGGUAGGGGAGCGUUCUGUAAGCCUGUGAAGGUGUGUCGUGAGGCAUGCUGGAGGUAUCAGAAGUGCGAAUGCUGACAUAAGUAACGAUAAAGCGGGUGAAAAGCCCGCUCGCCGGAAGACCAAGGGUUCCUGUCCAACGUUAAUCGGGGCAGGGUGAGUCGACCCCUAAGGCGAGGCCGAAAGGCGUAGUCGAUGGGAAACGGGUUAAUAUUCCCGUACUUGGUGUUACUGCGAAGGGGGGACGGAGAAGGCUAUGUUGGCCGGGCGACGGUUGUCCCGGUUUAAGCGUGUAGGUGUGUGUUCCAGGUAAAUCCGGUUCACUUUAACACUGAGGCGUGACGACGAGGCACUACGGUGCUGAAGCAACAAAUGCCCUGCUUCCAGGAAAAGCCUCUAAGCAUCAGGUAACAUCAAAUCGUACCCCAAACCGACACAGGUGGUCAGGUAGAGAAUACCAAGGCGCUUGAGAGAACUCGGGUGAAGGAACUAGGCAAAAUGGUGCCGUAACUUCGGGAGAAGGCACGCUGACACGUAGGUGAAGUGAUUUACUCAUGGAGCUGAAGUCAGUCGAAGAUACCAGCUGGCUGCAACUGUUUAUUAAAAACACAGCACUGUGCAAACACGAAAGUGGACGUAUACGGUGUGACGCCUGCCCGGUGCCGGAAGGUUAAUUGAUGGGGUCAGCGCAAGCGAAGCUCCUGAUCGAAGCCCCGGUAAACGGCGGCCGUAACUAUAACGGUCCUAAGGUAGCGAAAUUCCUUGUCGGGUAAGUUCCGACCUGCACGAAUGGCGUAAUGAUGGCCAGGCUGUCUCCACCCGAGACUCAGUGAAAUUGAACUCGCUGUGAAGAUGCAGUGUACCCGCGGCAAGACGGAAAGACCCCGUGAACCUUUACUAUAGCUUGACACUGAACAUUGAGCCUUGAUGUGUAGGAUAGGUGGGAGGCUUUGAAGUGUGGACGCCAGUCUGCAUGGAGCCGACCUUGAAAUACCACCCUUUAAUGUUUGAUGUUCUAACGUGGACCCGUAAUCCGGGUUGCGGACAGUGUCUGGUGGGUAGUUUGACUGGGGCGGUCUCCUCCUAAAGAGUAACGGAGGAGCACGAAGGUUGGCUAAUCCUGGUCGGACAUCAGGAGGUUAGUGCAAUGGCAUAAGCCAGCUUGACUGCGAGCGUGACGGCGCGAGCAGGUGCGAAAGCAGGUCAUAGUGAUCCGGUGGUUCUGAAUGGAAGGGCCAUCGCUCAACGGAUAAAAGGUACUCCGGGGAUAACAGGCUGAUACCGCCCAAGAGUUCAUAUCGACGGCGGUGUUUGGCACCUCGAUGUCGGCUCAUCACAUCCUGGGGCUGAAGUAGGUCCCAAGGGUAUGGCUGUUCGCCAUUUAAAGUGGUACGCGAGCUGGGUUUAGAACGUCGUGAGACAGUUCGGUCCCUAUCUGCCGUGGGCGCUGGAGAACUGAGGGGGGCUGCUCCUAGUACGAGAGGACCGGAGUGGACGCAUCACUGGUGUUCGGGUUGUCAUGCCAAUGGCACUGCCCGGUAGCUAAAUGCGGAAGAGAUAAGUGCUGAAAGCAUCUAAGCACGAAACUUGCCCCGAGAUGAGUUCUCCCUGAGACUUAGAGUCUCCUGAAGGAACGUUGAAGACGACGACGUUGAUAGGCCGGGUGUGUAAGCGCAGCGAUGCGUUGAGCUAACCGGUACUAAUGAACCGUGAGGCUUAACCUUACAACGCCGAAG
rnacentral:rRNA from 6 species